rnacentral:tRNA from 1 species
GCCCCCGUAGCUCAGUGGAUAGAGCAACGGUUUCCUAAACCGCAGGUCGCACGUUCGAGUCGUGCCGGGGGCG